rnacentral:misc_RNA from 1 species
CUGCAGUUGCUUGUUCUUUUGUUUGACAUCUCUGGUGUCAGUUGUGACAUUUAUUGGUUAGAAUAAAACCUUUUAGAAAGGAAAAUGCCUCGUGGAAAAGAACUUUCUAUUACAGAAAAAGCAAUGAUUGAUUCUUUUCACAUCGAAGGCAAGAGAUACGGUUAUAUUGCGAAUGUCUUGAACAAAGAGUGCAAUUGUAGAUAAUAUCACAAGGAAACGUAAUCAUGGAGAAAAGAAGCGAUCAGAUCGAUCGAAAAAAUUAUUGUCACGAGAUGAACAUGUGUCAACAAGUACCACUUACCGGCGCAUUUUAAAAUCACUGAACACUGUUAUUUCGAGAAUGGAAUCAGUACUAAAAUUAGAGACUGCUGAUAAAGAAAAAAGAUUUUUAUUUACAAGGGAAAAUUAUGAUUCUUUUUAUCCCCUAAUGGUGUAAUGCACUUUUUAAUAAUAAUUUGUCUUGGUGGUUUUUCAUCAAACACAUUUUAGGGGCGGUUCCGUCAUGAUUUGGGCGAGCUUUUUAGCUUCUGGCAAAAGCUCCGUUGCCUUUAGCUCAAACAGAAUGAAUAGUAUUGAUCAUACGCAUAUGCUGGG